rnacentral:rRNA from 1 species
AGAUUGAACGCUGGCGGCAUGCCUAACACAUGCAAGUCGAACGGGAGUAGCAAUACUCUAGUGGCGGACGGGUGAGGAAUACGUAGGAAUUUGCCCUUAGGUGGGGGAUAACCCGGGGAAACCCGGAUUAAUACCGCAUGACCUCGAAAGAGCAAAGUGGGGGAUCGCAAGACCUCACGCUUUUGGAGAAGCCUACGUCGGAUUAGCUAGUUGGUGAGGUAUGGCUCACCAAGGCGACGAUCCGUAACUGGUCUGAGAGGAUGAUCAGUCACACCGGAACUGAGACACGGUCCGACUCCUACGGGAGGCAGCAGUGGGAAUAUGACAUGGGCGCAAGCCUGAUCAGCAAGUGCCGCGUUGUGUGAAGAAGGCCUUGGGUUAGUAAGCG